UAAUUUUAUCUGAAUCUGCAAAUUGCCUCUUUUGUGGGGGAGGAACUGACUGGAAGUGGUCAGCUGCAGGGCUAUUGGUGGUUACACCACAACUUUAUUCUCGUAAAUUAUGAUAUUUUUCACGCCUGUUUCUAAAUUAUGACGUUAUUCUUGUAAU